CUCCAGCUGAACCCUCCACGAGGGCGCCGACUGGACAAUGGACACUGUAUUAUCCCGGGCAAUGGGUAAUGCUCUUGCUCCAGGAUAAUGCAGUGUCUAGCUAAGGCUUCGAUUCCAUUUCUUUAGCCCAAAACGCUGGAGAAAAUGAAUCAUUAGCCAUGGUUGGAGGUGCCUGGCGGUAGGCAUAAAACGCAAGUGGGUGGUUCCCCUGAAAUAAACCAGUUUUCUAGGGUAUGUGGGAUCCUCCAGCUCAACAAGGAGGUGGAGGAUAUCCGUUACAGGGGAUAUCCUUUAUACGGGAAGAUGGCGUGGGGCAUAAAUAGUUUCCACCUGCGUCUCAAGAAGCACCACCCCGGGGACAAGGACAUGCACAUCCUGCAGGGAGGUGAGGUGUAGAAGGACACCAUCGCUCCAAUGACCUGACUGCGGUGAUCCUGGAGAGCAAAAAGAGGCACCUUCUGGCAGGAGAAGGAAAUCAGGAACCCAAUAUAAACUACAAGAGGAAAACCCUUCGGCCACCCUAACCAAUUGAAGGCAAGGUCGCCUGGCAGGAGGUGGAUGCCUACUUAUAUCAUUGUACAGAUAUAUCUUUAUAUAUAAUAUAUAUGUAUAUAUAUAAUCCAGCAAUGACCUU